UAAAAGGAUAGAGGUGUCUUUCAGGUUAGUUUGUCAGUUGCAUUCAGAAUUGGAGGUUAGUUUCGAUAAUGAACAUUGUGAGAUGAUGACAUUUCAUCUUGAGGAAGAGUGGUGCUUCAAAAGUUUUCAAUUUGAACCAAGCAGCAAAUUUGCUUGAUAUUCAAUCAGAUGGUAAAAUAAUGAGAUGAUGAUAAUAUUAGAAUUAUAUCAAAUGUUCUAAUUUUGUCACAUACGUCUGCCAGAAUUACCCUGACAUGAAAUUUAGAUGUAGAUAUGGUGUGUGGG
rnacentral:misc_RNA from 1 species